UACGUAGGGUGCGAGCGUUAAUCGGAAUUACUGGGCGUAAAGCGUGCGCAGGCGGCGCGUUAAGACAGGUGUGAAAGCCCCGAGCUUAACUUGGGAAUUGCGCUUGUGACUGGCGUGCUGGAGUGUGGCAGAGGGAGGUGGAAUUCCACGUGUAGCAGUGAAAUGCGUAGAGAUGAUGGAGGAACACCGAUGGCGAAGGCAGCCUCCUGGGCCAGCACUGACGCUCAUGCACGAAAGCGUGGGGAG
rnacentral:rRNA from 1 species